rnacentral:lncRNA from 1 species
GCCUUCAAAGGAGCCUUGUACACAAUCUCUAGGUGAGGAAUGACUUUGUAAUCCGAGGCAUAAGAUCUCAAAUUAACAGCCCAUUAUUAUGGAAGUUCUUUAUUGAUCGCCAAAAUGGGUUAGGUAUACCUGUUUCAUCAUUGCCUAGAAUACCCUACUUCAAACAAUGAAACUCACUUUCAAUCUAUCAUCAUCUUUCACUCUUCAGUGAAACCCCAUGUAGCUUCCAGAUGUGGUUUCAGGAUUUCUCUAUAUUGUUGGAGAGAUACUCUGUUUUUCUACAAAUGGAAAGUUUGUGGCAUCCUUGACUCAAGCAAAUUUUUCAGCACCAUUUUUCAAGAGCGUGUGCUCACUUCACCUCUCUGUAUCGUGUUUUGAUGCUUGUCCUGGAAACCAACCAUGAGCUGUGAUGAAAUCCAGGCAACUGAGUUGUGUUUCAGCCCAAAGCAGCAAAUGGAAUCCAGCUUCAGGACCAUCAUCUGACAUAGGGGAAGAAGACUUACAUAGAAGGCCUAACCAGCACCCAAGAUCAUGCUCAUAGGUGGAGGAGACUUGCUUUGUCUCAGAUGAGACUUUGGACUGUGGACUUUUGAGUUAAUGCUGAAAUGAGUUGAGACUUUGGGGAACUGUUGGGAAGGCAUGAUUGGUUUUAAAUAUGAAUAUAUGAGAUUUGGGAGGGGGUCAGGGGUGGAAUGAUAUGGUUUGGCUCUGUGUCCCCACCCAAAUCUCAUCUUGUAGCUCCCAUAAUCCUCCCAUGUUGUGGGAGGGACCCAGUGGGAGAUGAUUGAAUCAUGAGGGCGGGUCUUUCUCAUGCUGUUCAUGAUCCCAUUCAUGUGAGAAAGACCCAUGUGAUCAUGAAUGGGUCUCACAAGAUCUGAUGGUGUUAAAAAUGGGAGUUUCUCUGCACAAGCUCUCUGCCUGCUGCCAUUCACAAAGGAUGUGACUUGCUUCUCCUUGCCUUCUGCUAUGAUUGUGAGGCCUCCCUAGCCAUGUGGAACUGUGAGUCCAAUUAAACCUCUUUCUUUUGUAAA